CGAGAAAGAAUCAGUCAUCUCCAGAGGAGCGUUGCAGUUUGAACAGCGCCGAUCUUUGGCUUGCAGGUGGUGGCUCAGGUGAAUAACGGCGGCGGGGGAUUCAAUGUGUCCGUUCAGCCAAAGCAGUCCCUCUGUGAUGGUGUGUUCCACAGAAUAGCGGUAAUCCAGCGGAACAAUGUGGUAGAGAUGCACGUGGACACAGAGGGCAGGUAUACGAUCGGCCUGAGCUCGUCUUCCCCCACCAAGGACAGAUUUCCUGUUUAUAUCGUCAAAGGUUCUCAUUCCUCCCGGUUACCGAAUCCUAUGUUGGGUGUCUCCAAAACAUGGUCUUUAACAGGGACGUGGUGGUGUUUGACAAGCUCGCGGCGGUAUUCGGACCUGUAAACGUGCGAGAGUGUCCAGCUAACUUGACAGCGCCUUCUCCACAGUGAAGACAUUUCCACAGCUGUAGGAUUAGAAGAGUAAGCCCGGAAAUCAUGAGAAAUUAUAGCGUAAUACGUUUCCCAACUCCGUCCUGUAGUCCACUGUCUGAUAGCUUCGUCUUUCAUCGCCGUUAGAUACAAAAGUCACAUAAUUGCCAUAUAUUGAAAUAAAUGUGGACAGAGGUGAAGCAAAAACAAAACACGACCUCCAUGGGGCUUUCAAUUGGGUGAAUGUACUUAUUGACCUGAAGUGUAAUACUGCCUAUUUAUUUACUAGCUGGUCUCGUUUGCACACUAUUUAUACUGUACACACAAUAUUUAAGUCUUUUAUGAUAGCGGAAGUGAAACGUGAGGUGUCGUACUGUAACUUUGACCAUUGUGGGUAAUGUUUACCACCUGAUUUACAUUUCUACAAGCUGUAUUAUAUUUGGUGUAAAGACUUAUUAGGUAAGAUAAUGGACCAUUUUUUUUUUUUUUUGUAAUAUUGUUGGUGGUGCUUGAAACGUGUGAAGAAAUUAAAGUAACUUUUCUCACACAGGUCUGUUUUGUCUACUGUUUUCUUUGCAGGCCCUUUACUAUUUCCAAAAUUCAU
ensembl:lncRNA